AUAUAGGACUUACCCAAACCUGCAAGCUUGACUCUUCUGCCCUGGAGGUGAAUGCCUGACCUGCCCAGAGCUGCUAUUGAUCUGUUCGAGAGUCAGAGCCUCAAGUCUGAAUCUCAGAGCAUGACUAGAAACAGUAGACACCUGAUCACCAAGCCCAGACCUGCUCACCUUGCUCCCAGAUACUGAGCUUCAACAGGGCAAGCAGCAGCUCCUGUGCAGAAGCACAGUGGUGUUAUGAGGAGACACGUUCUCCAAACACAUGAGAUUUUGGAGCUGGGAAAUUUGGAGCAAUUUGCUUUUAAUUGUGUGCAUUUAUCUCAGAUUUUUCACCGCUUCCUUUGCUCUGAGCAACCCCAGCCCAUGAGUUUAUCUCACUGUCACGCAAUCUACUUUGGUGAGCAGGUUGCAGCUGCAGCUGGCUCGAUGCAGGUUUUCUCCUCCAAAUACUGGAACUUCUCCUCCACCCCGUCUGCCCCCACAGUAUACCUCCCUGAGGACCACAGUUUUUUAAGAAAGACGUGGAGCAGGGGAGACUGGGAAGAUCCCGCACAGGCUGAAUGCCCAUGGGAAAACACGGCGAGGAUGUGCAGUGUGAGAUGGGACCUGAGAAUCUCCCUGCAGAAAGCCUCCUGA
ensembl:lncRNA